rnacentral:rRNA from 1 species
UGGGGAAUUUUCCGCAAUGGGCGAAAGCCUGACGGAGCAAUACCGCGUGAGGGAUGAAUGCCUAUGGGUUGUAAACCUCUUUUUUCAAGGAGGAAUAAAAUGACGUGUACUUGAAGAAUAAGCAUCGGCUAACUCCGUGCCAGCAGCCGCGGUAAGACGGGGGAUGCAAGUGUUAUCCGGAAUCACUGGGCGUAAAGCGUCUGUAGGUGGUUAAAUAAGUCAACUGUUAAAUCUUGAGGCUCAACCUCAAAAUCGCAGUCGAAACUGUUUGACUAGAGUAUAGUAGGGGUAAAGGGAAUUUCCAGUGGAGCGGUGAAAUGCGUAGAGAUUGGAAAGAACACCAAUGGCGAAGGCACUUUACUGGGCUAUUACUAACACUGAGAGACGAAAGCUAGGGUAGCAAAUGGG